GUGAGGCCUCCUCUUUUGUUUUUUUGUGUUUUGGCAGUGGGUAAAGACAAAAGGCAGGCAUGAAAAGCCCCCACUCUCACAUGCAUCUGAAUAUGGGGGUGCUGCAGGAAGUUAUGACAACAAAACCACCCUGGGGCCCAGACCUGGAAGCCGUCAGCUAUGGAGGACCCUGGAAGCAGGCAGAGAAAGGUUUGGAGUUUUCAGUGCGAUGACACCAGCGUGCCUGCGGAAGUGGCUGUGUCUCCUCUUGCCUCCUUCCCCACCCAAUUCCGCCCCAGGAGCCCAGGGAUGGAGGCCCAGGAGACGGAUCCCACAAGAGCCAGCACCCACUCCACCCCAGGAGCUCAGCAAACAUCCACAGAGUGAACAUUCCAAGCAACAUAGUCCAGGAGCCACGUUCCAGCCAUGGGGCCUCUGCACUGCUGUUCUCUUCACAUGGCCUGCCCUUCCCCCAGAAAGAGAGAAGAGGCCCUCUCUGGUUGUCCCAUCAAAACUCCACCCUUCUCUCACCCUCCUCCCAGCUGUAUCCCUUCUCUGCAGCCCUAACAUGCAUUCCACUUUAUUUCCCUUGUCUACUGUCUGCCUCUCUAACUACUAAGUCAGUUCCAGCCGCUCCAGGAUUUUUGUCUUUUCAGUUUAGCCCUGGUUCCUCAGGGCCUUAGUGACUAGUGUGUAGUGCCUAGCAGCCAGUAGAUGCUCAAUAACUGCUUGCUGAUUGACUGGGGUGAGCUCCCCAUCCAUGGAGCUAUUUCAAGCCAAGCCUAGACGAUCUUUCAGGGCUAGUUCUAACCUAAGACUUGGUAGUUCCAUGACUCUCUUCCUGGCCCAGACCGAAAAGGAACUUUCAGCAGGAACCCGGGACUGGGAUCUGAGAUGGGGCUCCUUGGAGGACUCUGACUAGGAAGAGAGACGGGAGGCCGCACCAAAAACACAAGCCCUUCAUGGGUCUCCCAGGCGUAGGUCUGGGGAAUCCCCCAGGCCCCUCAGGAUCGACCCUGCUGGCCCUGGAUCUCCAGGACGCGUCCCUCUGACCUGCCUGCCCGGCCUGUGAGUCCCCGGCAGCAACCGCUGCAGACACAGGCUGCCCAGCGCCAGGGCCAGGCCGGAUUAUCAUACAUUAAGACAUAAUUACUCUGCGGAAAUUUACAAUACAAAGCGCCCUCCCCAAGUUGGCUUCAGAAGGAUUCCAAGGAUACAAAGACCUGCUGUGUCUGCCACCGACCCAAGCUGGCCCCAGCCAGAAUUUCAAAAGAAGUGGGUGGGUUAGUUUUUGGAAAAACCCCAUUCUACCCUCCAGGCAGAAGCCCCGCCCCAAGGGUAGAGCCCUCUGAUACCCCAAGCCCCACCCAGAGGGGAGGGUCCCCUCCACCCCGACCAGCGUUGCUCCUAAACCACUCGGGUUCCCCCAAGCCCAGAAGCUCCAAGCUGACACCACCAAGGUCACCCCACUUCUCCCAAGUUCUCUCUUUUUAGACUAUUUAGGCCUAAGGGCAGAAAGAACCUUAAAUCCCAAGAUGCUAGCUUUUGACCUGCAGAGAGGUGUGGCAGCCCACUGACAUUGAUUAAGCGCCUGCUGUGUGCCUGGUACUGUGCCAGCAUCAGGAUGCCACAGAGAACAAGACAAACCAGAUCGCUGUGCUGGGGGGAGCUUACAGUCCAGUUGAGGAGACGCAGUAAGAUGCUAAAAAAAAAAAAAAUGCACAUCAGGUGUGCAGGAUGGGUGAGUGACCGGGGUGCACGGUGGCCAGAGAGCCUCAAAGGUGGCAUCUGAGCAGAGGCCUGAAUGAGCAAGAGAGACUAGCCUGUGCAAAGGCCCUGAGGUGGGGCCAUGUGUGGUGAGGGGUAGUGGAGGCAGAGAAUGCUGGCUUUUACUCUCAAGAGGGUUUCCAGCAGGGAAGCUGCCUGAUUCGGGGGACACUUGGCCUGCUGUUCUGUUAGAUUCCUGCAUCUACCACCUCCUGGCCCUGGGAUGCUGGGCAAGUCAGUUAGCCCUUUAAGCUUUUGUUCCUCCCUGCAAAAUAAAAACAGUAACCACAGCUAACACACGCUUGUUGCACAGAACAAGACAGAGAAAGUCGGGAAAGGGAGGGCCAUGCAUGUGAGGGGCGGGGGAGAAGCUCUCUGAGCCUUAGCUGCCCCA
rnacentral:lncRNA from 1 species